CAGUUUAAUCCAUGAAUUUUGUAAAAUUAUGAUUUUUUUUUUAUUAUGUGCCAAAAAGUAUUUCAGAAGUAUUGUUGAUUUAUUAUCUAUAUGUUUAAAUAUUGAUAACUACAUCUAUUGAUCACAUAAACCUUUGUUAUAUCCAAACAAGUAUAUAAUUCAAAUGUGUUGAUGAUUUAUUAUGUUUUAUUUGAUUUUAUUUGAAUUUAAAGUUGAUUAAAUAUUAUGUUUAAAUAUAUUUAAGUAUUUCAAGAGCACCAUAUACGAACUUCUUUUGUAAUGAAAGUGGUUGAAUACUACAAAGUGAGAAUUUGAUACAUGAUUUUGAAUAAUAAAUAUGAACUAUAUCUUUAAGAAUAUACAUGGAAUGUGUGUUUACAUCCAUAUGAUCUAAUGAAACUCGUUAUAUGAUUGUGAGUAAUUGAUAUAGAUAUAUUUUUGGAAGUAUCUAUAAAAUAUGUGUGUUUGCAUAUGGAGUGGUGAUUAUUAUGAAAUAUGUGUUUAUGAAGUGUGGACUAGGCAUUUUGAUAUCAUUCAAGAGGGACGCAUUUGAUUUCUGCACACAAGGCGUGCAAAAUAUGUGUUUAAUAUGUGCACACGAGGCGUGUAAAUGAUAUAUGUCAUGUAUGCAUGUAGCACCAUGCGAUGUAUUUGAUGUGUGCAAGUUAGGCGUGCAUAUGAUGUAUUUAGUGUGACUGACCAUCACACAUUUUUAAAACAUUGUACCAUUUAUGCAAACUAAUGUACCUUGGGAAUGAUGUGAUGAGUUAUGCACUAAUAUGAAAGUUUUUAAUACAAUCAUCAUCAUAUAUGUGUUAUGAAAA